UGUCCGAGACGCGGCUUACCUCCUCCCGAGCCAGCGUCUACGUGGUGGCAUCCUCCUCCCGCCGCCACGCGUCAUAAAAGGCGUCUGCCGGAUCUCCUCCCUCGGCAGGCGCCUUAU
rnacentral:sRNA from 1 species